rnacentral:rRNA from 1 species
CGGAGGGUGCGAGCGUUGUCCGGAAUCACUGGGCGUAAAGGGCGCGUAGGUGGCUCGGCAAGCGUGCGGUGAAAGUUCGAGGCUCAACCUCGAAUCGGCCGUGCGAACUGCCAGGCUUGAGCACUGUAGAGGCAGAUGGAAUUCCGGGUGUAGCGGUGGAAUGCGUAGAGAUCCGGAAGAACACCGGUGGCGAAGGCGGUCUGCUGGGCAGUUGCUGACACUGAGGCGCGACAGCGUGGGGAGCAAACAGGAUUAGAUACCCUGGUAGUCCACGCCGUAAACGAUGGGCACUAGAUGCUUGGGGGAGCGACCCCCUGAGUGUCGGCGCUAACGCAUUAAGUGCCCCGCCUGGGGAGUACGGCCGCAAGGCUG